AUUGAACGCUGGCGGCAGGCCUAACACAUGCCAGUCGAACGGUAACAGGAAGAAGCUUGCUUCUUUGCUGACGAGUGGCGGACGGGUGGGUAAUGUCUGGGAAACUGCCUGAUGGAGGGGGAUAACUACUGGAAACGGUAGCUAAUACCGCAUAACGUCGCAAGACCAAAGAGGGGGACCUUCGGGCCUCUUGCCAUCGGAUGUGCCCAGAUGGGAUUAGCUAGUAGGUGGGGUAACGGCUCACCUAGGCGACGAUCCCUAGCUGGUCUGAGAGGAUGACCAGCCACACUGGAACUGAGACACGGUCCAGACUCCUACGGGAGGCAGCAGUGGGGAAUAUUGCACAAUGGGCGCAAGCCUGAUGCAGCCAUGCCGCGUGUAUGAAGAAGGCCUUCGGGUUGUAAAGUACUUUCAGCGGGGAGGAAGGGAGUAAAGUUAAUACCUUUGCUCAUUGACGUUACCCGCAGAAGAAGCACCGGCUAACUCCGUG
rnacentral:rRNA from 1 species